AUUGAACGCUGGCGGCAGGCCUAACACAUGCAAGUCGAACGGUAACAGGAAACAGCUUGCUGUUUCGCUGACGAGUGGCGGGCGGGUGAGUCAUGUCUGGGAAACUGCCUGAUGGAGGGGGAUAACUACUGGAAACGGUAGCUACUACCGCAUAACGUCGCAUGACCAAAGAGGGGGGCACUCGGGCCUCUUGCCAUCGGAUGUGCCCAGGUGGGAUUAGCUUGUUGGGGGGGUAACGGCUCCCCAAGGCGACGAUGUCUAGCUGGUCUGAGAGGAUGACCAGCCACACGGGAACGGAGACACGGUCCAGACGCCUACGGGAGGCAGCAGUGGGGAAUAUGGCACAAUGGGCGCAAGCCUGAUGCAGCCAUGCCGAGUGUAUGAAGACGGCCUUCGGGUUGUAAAGUACGUUCAGCGGGGAGGAAGGGAGUAAAGUUAAUACCUUUGCUCAUUGACGGUACCCGCAGAAGAAGCACCGGCUAACUACGUG
rnacentral:rRNA from 1 species